rnacentral:miRNA from 1 species
UGCUCGAGACGUCGGAUGUGC